rnacentral:rRNA from 1 species
AGUCGAACGGCAGCACAGUAAGAGCUUGCUCUUAUGGGUGGCGAGUGGCGGACGGGUGAGGAAUACAUCGGAAUCUACUUUUUCGUGGGGGAUAACGUAGGGAAACUUACGCUAAUACCGCAUACGACCUACGGGUGAAAGCAGGGGACCUUCGGACCUUGCGCGAUUGAAUGAGCCGAUGUCGGAUUAGCUAGUUGGCGGGGUAAAGGCCCACCAAGGCGACGAUCCGUAGCUGGUCUGAGAGGAUGAUCAGCCACACUGGAACUGAGACACGGUCCAGACUCCUACGGGAGGCAGCAGUGGGGAAUAUUGGACAAUGGGCGCAAGCCUGAUCCAGCCAUACCGCGUGGGUGAAGAAGGCCUUCGGGUUGUAAAGCCCUUUUGUUGGGAAAGAAAUCCAGCCGGCUAAUACCUGGUUGGGAUGACGGUACCCAAAGAAUAAGCACCGGCUAACUUCGUGCCAGCAGCCGCGGUAAUACGAAGGGUGCAAGCGUUACUCGGAAUUACUGGGCGUAAAGCGUGCGUAGGUGGUUGUUUAAGUCUGUUGUGAAAGCCCUGGGCUCAACCUGGGAACUGCAGUGGAAACUGGACAACUAGAGUGUGGUAGAGGGUAGCGGAAUUCCCGGUGUAGCAGUGAAAUGCGUAGAGAUCGGGAGGAACAUCCAUGGCGAAGGCAGCUACCUGGACCAACACUGACACUGAGGCACGAAAGCGUGGGGGAGCAAACAGGAUUAGAUACCCUGGUAGUCCACGCCCUAAACGAUGCGAACUGGAU